AGGGAUUGAGUAUUGUAUUAAUGCUAAUCUUUUUUCCUUUUUCUUUUAAUUUUUCAUUGCAGGGUAGUUAUAAUACCAAGCAAUGUAGAUUUUGGUGAGUGAAACUUGUAAGGAAAAUGGAUACGGCUUAACUGCUUCUUAGUUGGGAGCAGAGACUAAACCCAGUUAAGAAAAAGAAAAAAGAAAAAUAAGGAGUAAUGAUAGCGUUCUUUUACUAAUAUAAUCUCUUUAGUACAUAAAUUUUGGAUGCACAAAAGGAAUCAAACACUAAUUAAUUUUCUGCACAUCACAAAACAUCUGUCUUGCAUCAUCAUGCACACCCUUCAGAACAGAGGAACUCUGCACAUCACAAUAGUAAAAAGAACACAUUAGUCUAACAAAAUCAUAAAUAUCAUAGGGAAAUUUGUAUAAAUAUCACCUAAACUUUUAGGCCUGUGCGCUAUUACCCACAUGAACUUUUA
rnacentral:lncRNA from 1 species